GUAUGAGUCAUGCUCUCUCUCGUCAACCAUCUCUGAAAUCCUUUCAAACAGGAGAUGAUGUGUAGUGCUCGCACUGGCUUUAGCAGGAUUUGGAUCAGGCCAUCUGGGUAAACUUUCUUGAUCUGUUUGAACUGCUGGACUUCUGUGCUGCUGGUGAAAUGGGUGGUCCCGUGUUUUAUCUCCUGGCAACACGGUUCAGUGGCCUCCCUUUAUCCCAGCAUGGAGCUCAUGUGGCUAUAAAAUGAACCAGACUAUGGACUGAGCAUCCUUUUUUUUCCCCCUAGAUUAGUUCCCUAAUUUGGAUUAUCACUUGAACACACGAUUGCAACUGCUGGCCUGAGGAAGAGGAUGGGAUCAUGCACAAGAAGCAGGGAAGCCAGUUUAAAAAUAGAAACUGUCACGACUGGAAUGUUUUUCUUCUUGUCUUGGAAGACAACAUCUGUAAGAAUUAUAAAUGUGCCACUGAAAAAUGAUUCAUAGAUUUUGUGUACUGGAAUAACAUCCAGAUUUUAUAUAAUGGAAUAACAUUUGGCCAUAAGGCCAAAUUAUCAGCUGUUGUCAUAUUGUUGAGCUCAGUGGAAUUAAGAAAACCAGCUGAGUCCAUGACAAAUGGGGAAAGUUUCUACAGAAUUCACAUUAUUUGUGUUUAAUGACACAAAAUCAAGGAGAGGUAUCUAAAUCUAAAUGUUUUUCUUCAGCUCUCAAGAGAAAAUGACAAGAACAACUGCCAUUUAACUUGCUUUCUUGUACUGUAACAGCAAGCAUUUCAUUAAUAAAAGUACUUUGUAUCAAA